GCUGUAUGAUUGGUUACUCAGGUAGACAAACGCGUCCUCUGCAGGAGCAACCUGACAUCAGAGGUACGGCAGUCUGAGCUGGCCAUGUAAUCCUGUUGUUGGCCGACAGGAAGCAGUCAGCCCUCAGCUUUCCCCAUCACAGAACCGUGUGCUUGUCGCGGUCGUAGUUAAUGUGGGGCGAAGUACUCACCAGGUGUGACGUCAGCGCACACUUCUCGGCCCACUUCAAAUCUCCAGCCGCCCGGUAUGUCUCAAACAUAUGCCGACGUCGCAUCGCAGCUUCAUCAAGACAAGUGGUAAUGAAUGAGGUGGAAAAUAUAUUAACCAUUUAUGAAGAGAAACUACAUUUCCGAUGUAUUCGUUUGUACAGUAGAGGAAGAGACCUUGCGUGUUCAGUGAAAUAAACUUUUGGUGAGCCACAUUUAAAGACAUUGUGAAAAGAUGCGUUUCGAGAAGCAAAUACCCAUUUUCCGCUUACGUAGAAGGUAGCUUAAACAUUAAUCUAACGUUUCGACGUUAAAAUGUACUAAAGUUUCUCAAGCCUUCAUAUCUUCAUGCACUACUGGCUGCCUCAUAGCGCCGCCCCCCCCCCCCCC